UUCCUGAUCUUUUAGGGCCAUAUCUGAU
rnacentral:sRNA from 1 species